rnacentral:rRNA from 1 species
CGGUAGGGUGCAAGCGUUAAUCGGAAUUACUGGGCGUAAAGCGUGCGCAGGCGGUAAUGUAAGACAGUUGUGAAAUCCCCGGGCUCAACCUGGGAACUGCAUCUGUGACUGCAUUGCUGGAGUACGGUAGAGGGGGAUGGAAUUCCGCGUGUAGCAGUGAAAUGCGUAGAUAUGCGGAGGAACACCGAUGGCGAAGGCAAUCCCCUGGACCUGUACUGACGCUCAUGCACGAAAGCGUGGGGAGCAAACAGGAUUAGAUACCCUGGUAGUCCACGCCCUAAACGAUGUCAACUGGUUGUUGGGUCUUCACUGACUCAGUAACGAAGCUAACGCGUGAAGUUGACCGCCUGGGGAGUACGGCCGCAAGGUUG